rnacentral:rRNA from 1 species
CGUUAGCGGCGGACGGGUGAGUAACACGUAGGUAACCUACCUAUAAGACUGGGAUAACUUCGGGAAACCGGAGCUAAUACCGGAUAAUAUUUCGAACCGCAUGGUUCGAUAGUGAAAGGUGGCUUUGCUAUCACUUAUAGAUGGACCUGCGCCGUAUUAGCUAGUUGGUGAGGUAACGGCUUACCAAGGCAACGAUACGUAGCCGACCUGAGAGGGUGAUCGGCCACACUGGAACUGAGACACGGUCCAG